GACGAACGCUGGCGGCGUGCUUAACACAUGCAAGUCGAACGGUGAAGCGCCUUCCUUUUUGGUGGGUGUGGAUGAGUGGCGAACGGGUGAGUAACACGUGAGUAACCUGCCCCCUUCUUCUGGAUAACCGCAUGAAAGUGUGGCUAAUACGGGAUAUUCUGGGUCUGUCGCAUGAUGGGUCUGGGAAAGAUAUUGUUUCGGUUGGGGAUGGGCUCGCGGCCUAUCAGCUUGUUGGUGGGGUGAUGGCCUACCAAGGCGGUGACGGGUAGCCGGCCUGAGAGGGUGGACGGUCACACUGGGACUGAGACACGGCCCAGACUCCUACGGGAGGCAGCAGUGGGGAAUAUUGCACAAUGGGCGCAAGCCUGAUGCAGCGACGCCGCGUGAGGGAUGGAGGCCUUCGGGUUGUGAACCUCUUUCGCCAGUGAAGCAGGCCUGCCUCGUUUGUGGGUGGGUUGACGGUAGCUGGAGAAGAAGCGCCGGCUAACUACGUG
rnacentral:rRNA from 1 species